ensembl:lncRNA
UGGAGUUAAUGUUAAUUUGUUCAUUGUUAAUGCUGCUAUUUAAAAAAUAAAUAAUAAUAAAACUCUUCGCACUACAUACUGUCAGCCCUAUAUGAUGUAGGUGGCGAAUGGCAUCCUUAAUGACGGUAGCAAUAUCAUCUGCUGGCAUUGAAGAUGAGGAAAAUAAGUAACCCACCGUCUGUUGGAAGACAUGCUUUAGGACGAGCAUACACAUCCUCUCCACAGGGGUCAUGGUGGCGGCGAUGACUCCCAUUUGGGAGAUGAUUCCCUGUAGGAAGCCAGGCUGUCAGGAAAUAAAAGAGAAAUAUCCCACACGUGCGCUAACGUAACGCCGAAGUGUCCUUCCAGAAGGAAGCGAGAAUAUGGCCUUCAUUUGACGGUAGGCCUUUGGGCUGCUGUGUAACAGCUGCAGCCCUAGAUCCUUCAUGUGCCUGUUGAACCUUCUCCCUCUGUCCUUUUUUCCCUGCCUCUGACAG